UUCCCCCUUGUCACAGCAUCGUGUC
rnacentral:misc_RNA from 1 species